CGCGUAGGCGGCCGCCUAAGUCAGACGUGAAAUCCCUCGGCUCGACCGGGGAACUGCGUCUGAUACUGGGUGGCUUGAAUUCGGGAGAGGGAUGCGGAAUUCCAGGUGUAGCGGUGAAAUGCGUAGAUAUCUGGAGGAACACCGGUGGCGAAGGCGGCAUCCUGGACCGAGAUUGACGCUGAGGCGCGAAAGCCAGGGAGCAAACG
rnacentral:rRNA from 1 species